UUGCUGUGUCUUCCUGCUGUGCAUAGCUCUCACAGUGGAGUCUGGCGGGGUACACAGCGGUCUCCCUCUCCAUUUAGGAGGACAGUCCUGAGCAUAGGACUGAUCCUUAAGGCACAAGUAGCAGC
rnacentral:snoRNA from 1 species